rnacentral:lncRNA from 1 species
AAAAAUUGACAUGACUAGGUAAAAUUGUAAAGUUAUGCAUUAAGGGCAUUUUAGUAAUUUGUCAAAUAAAGAAAAAAUUAACUAAAUAAAAGUGUCCAUCUUCUCAAAUUAUCAAAUUAGUCCCCCCCAUAGCCGAAUUUGAAGAAUAAGACAUAGCUAAGGUUUUAUCCAAGCUUUCAAGCUCGAUUGUAAGUCCGUUCUUGUCCCGUUUUUAACGAUUUAUACAAUUUUGAGAUCGUUGUAACUUGAUUUAGCUAUUUUAAGAACUAAUUUGAAAGAAAAUCGAAGUCCAAAAUUUUACCCAUGUUGGAUGUACAUGUAUUUUGAUGUUUACU